AAUGUAAUAAAAUCCAUUGUGUUUAUUAAGACCUUCUGUGAUAGUCUGAAACCUUUGAUGUCUUAAUAAACACAAUGGAGAAGGAGAAGGCAGUAAAAUUCGUAUCUGGUGCAUGCACCAGCUGAAUGUUUCCUCCACAAUGCAGAGCCAUUUCCGGCAUCUUUUCUAUGGAACCCAUUUCAGUAGAGAGAGGCAGGUCAAAUAAUUCCUGAGUGUCUCCAACUGGACUAUCUCUAUUUCCCUAAUGGAGUAUCACCCUCAACUAUUCUAUGAAGAAGAUCUCCAACAAAAAAGAGACUGCUUGGAAGAGUCUUAGGGUGAUGAUUGCUUGGGAAUGUAUGAAAAAAUGAUUUGGGGAGGAUGCAAAUGAGCAACUAGCUCCAUGUCCACCAGAGAUGGUUUAGAAGGGGCUUUGGUCCCCACAUACAGGAAAAAAGUAUUUGGAAUUCUUUGCA